UAAGUACUGACAUGCCGUGACUCCACGGGCAGUGGUGAUGUUGAUAGAGGCAGACUUCUGCUGAGUGGGCAGCCAGAGUUCAGAGCCUGGCCAAGCUGCUUCCCUGGGAUGACAAAGGUUCCAAAUAAAUUUGCCUUUUGGAGGAAAACUGGCGAUCUCUGGAGAUGCCUGUACACACAGAGCCAGACUGCAGGUUUAGACUCUGCUUAGGGAAACCACGUCGCUUACCCCUGGAUUACUAUUUAUGUAGGUUGCCUUGGUUCAGUGAGCCUGGGAGCAGCUGUGGCAGAUGUUGCCCAAGUCUGCAGCAUGGUGGCAAUUAGGAUGUGCCACAGAUCACAGGACCGGUGAAUCAGCAGGAAGUCAACAGCAGUCUGCAUUAAUUUGGCCUCCUUUGAAAUAAAACACUUCACUUACAGAAAUGCUAUCAAAC